rnacentral:rRNA from 1 species
ACGGGUGAGUAAUGUCUGGGAAACUGCCUGAUGGAGGGGGAUAACUACUGGAAACGGUAGCUAAUACCGCAUAACGUCGCAAGACCAAAGAGGGGGACCUUCGGGCCUCUUGCCAUCGGAUGUGCCCAGAUGGGAUUAGCUAGUAGGUGGGGUAAAGGCUCACCUAGGCGACGAUCCCUAGCUGGUCUGAGAGGAUGACCAGCCACACUGGAACUGAGACACGGUCCAGACUCCUACGGGAGGCAGCAGUGGGGAAUAUUGCACAAUGGGCGCAAGCCUGAUGCAGCCAUGCCGCGUGUGUGAAGAAGGCCUUCGGGUUGUAAAGCACUUUCAGCGGGGAGGAAGGGAGCAGGCUUAAUACGUCUGUUCAUUGACGUUACCCGCAGAAGAAGCACCGGCUAACUCCGUGCCAGCAGCCGCGGUAAUACGGAGGGUGCAAGCGUUAAUCGGAAUGACUGGGCGUAAAGCGCACGCAGGCGGUCUGUUAAGUUGGAUGUGAAAUCCCCGGGCUUAACCUGGGAACUGCAUUCAAAACUGACAGGCUAGAGUCUCGUAGAGGGGGGUAGAAUUCCAGGUGUAGC